GUAUACACGAAUUGAAGCUCUCUCUCGUCACGAAUCGAAGCUCUCCGACUGAAAACGCAAACAGGAGUGGAGCCAAGGUUCCUGAAGUUAAUUGGUGUAAGUGUGGAGAAAGUGUUGCUAUGGAAGUAUCGAUGGGAAGUACAAAUGGAUUCUUAACUAAAAGAUUUGAAGAUGGAGCUGAGAAGUUUCUUGUUGAAGCAACCAAUCACCCAACUGGCCUAGAGACUGAUGAGGUGAAAAUGGGAAUUUUGAUGGGUACUGCUAACUUUACAAUAGGUGAGAACCAUUAUAAGGAAUAGCAUUAAGGAGACAUUGGAUCAAUAUGAUAUCUUGAUUUCCCCUGCACCUUCCUUCAGUUGCUUAUAAAAUUUGUGAAAAGAAAAAUGAUCCUUUGGCUAUGUAUGCUGGCGACAUCAUGACUGUGUUCAAUGAUCCCACGGCAUUAACAGAGGAUGAGCUGUAUGAUUUGCGAGACCGCUGGGCAACUUGUUUUCUUGAACUAUAUAAUCCUGAGGUAGAUUAUGAUGAUGCCGACGAGAAAGAUUAGGAGCUAGUUAGGUUUGUGUGAAGUUACAAUUGACUAGUUAUGAUGAUGUUUUAAUUUGUACUUUGGAUGGAUUAGUAUUAAUUAUUAUGAUGUUUUGUAUUUUGGAUUACAAUGUGGUUGUACUUUAAUGAUAUUAUUACUAUAUAUAUAUAUAUGUUGAAUUUGGCUA